AUUGAACGCUGGCGGCAGGCCUAACACAUGCAAGUCGAGCGAGUGGCGGACGGGUGAGUAAUGUAUGGGGAACUGCCUGAUGGAGGGGGAUAACUACUGGAAACGGUGGCUAAUACCGCAUACCAUCGGAUGUGCCCAGAUGGGAUUAGCUAGUAGGUGGGGUAACGGCUCACCUAGGCGACGAUCCCUAGCUGGUCUGAGAGGAUGAUCAGCCACACGGGAACUGAGACACGGCCCAGACUCCUACGGGAGGCAGCAGUGGGGAAUAUUGCACAAUGGGCGCAAGCCUGAUGCAGCCAUGCCGCGUGUAUGAAGAAGGCCUUCGGGUUGUAAAGUACUUUCAGCGGGGAGGCGUUACCCGCAGAAGAAGCACCGGCUAACUCCGUGCCAGCCGCCGCGGUAAUUC
rnacentral:rRNA from 1 species